AGUGAACGCUGGCGGCGUGCCUAAUACAUGCAAGUCGAACGGAGUGGCGCACGGGUGAGUAAUAUAUAGCUAAUCUGCCCCUUGCUGGAGGACAACAGUUAGAAAUGACUGCUAAUACUCCAUAGCAAGGGAUGAGACUAUAUCGUAUCAGCUGGUCGGUGGGGUAACGGCCUACCGAGGCUAUGACGCGUAACUGGUCUGAGAGGAUGAUCAGAGACAUUGGAGCUGAGACACGGUGCAAACUCGUACGGGAGGCAGCAGUAGGGAAUAGUGCGAAAUGGGGGAAACCAUGACGCAGCAACGCCGCGUGGAGGAUGAAACUUUUCAGAGCGUAAACUCCUUUGAUUAGGGAGGCGGUACCUAACGAAUAAGCACCGGCUAACUCCGUGCCAGCAGCCGCGGUAAUAC
rnacentral:rRNA from 1 species